rnacentral:rRNA from 1 species
CUGACGGAGCACGCCGCGUGAGUGAUGAAGGUUUUCGGAUCGUAAAGCUCUGUUGUUAGGGAAGAACAAGUACCGUUCGAAUAGGGCGGUACCUUGACGGUACCUAACCAGAAAGCCACGGCUAACUACGUGCCAGCAGCCGCGGUAAUACGUAGGUGGCAAGCGUUGUCCGGAAUUAUUGGGCGUAAAGGGCUCGCAGGCGGUUUCUUAAGUCUGAUGUGAAAGCCCCCGGCUCAACCGGGGAGGGUCAUUGGAAACUGGGGAACUUGAGUGCAGAAGAGGAGAGUGGAAUUCCACGUGUAGCGGUGAAAUGCGUAGAGAUGUGGAGGAACACCAGUGGCGAAGGCGACUCUCUGGUCUGUAACUGACGCUGAGGAGCGAAAGCGUGGGGAGCGAACAGGAUUAGAUA